rnacentral:rRNA from 1 species
CCUACGGGUGGCAGCAGUGAGGAAUAUUGGUCAAUGGGCGCGAGCCUGAACCAGCCAAGUCGCGUGAGGGAGGACGGCCCUACGGGUUGUAAACCUCUUUUGCCGGGGAGCAACGGGCGCCACGUGUGGCGUCACUGAGAGUACCCGGAGAAAAAGCAUCGGCUAACUCCGUGCCAGCAGCCGCGGUAAUACGGGGGAUGCGAGCGUUAUCCGGAUUUAUUGGGUUUAAAGGGUGCGUAGGCGGAUCGUUAAUUCAGUGGUAAAAUUGAGGGGCUCAACCCCUUCCCGGCAUUGAAACUGGCGUUCUUGAGUGGAAGAGAAGUAUGCGGAAUGCGUGGUGUAGCGGUGAAGUGCAUAGAUAUCACGCAGAACCCGGAUGGCGAGGGAAGCAUGCGGGCUUCCGACUGACGCUGAAGCACGAAAGCGUGGGGAUAGAACAGGAUUAGAUACCCAGUAGUC